AAGUAUUUAUUUUUCAAUCAGGCUAGAAGCUGUUUACUUCCAUUGUCCUGAGUACAACUUCUUUGCUCUAUCAUUGUACAUUCUGAUACGAUCAAAUUCUGUAUAACUUAAUAAAGUACUCAUAUAUACAGUUGUUGUUCAACUUUGGAAAAAUUCACAUAUUAUACUCUGAAGUUUCUCAUCCUACUAAAAUAAGAAUUAGAUCUGUAAAAGUCUAAUAGGUAUAAAUGUCAAUAAUCAUAUAUAUUGUGCAAGGUGAACUUAAACACAAAAGUACAUAGAAGUAUUUUUUCCCCAUACAGUUUGAUAGGCUUACUAUGCAAAGUUAAAGCUGUUACUUUUACCUGACAGAGCCUUAUCUUAAGUUCAAAUUGUUCAAGUGAGAACAAUAAUAUUCUUGGGUUACCAAUCAAAGAGAUUACAAGGUUUGUUGUUGUUGUUGCUGUUGUUGUUGUUGUUGUUGUUAAGCUGUUUUGUUAGGGGGAAAAAAACUUGUUUCAGCAUUUCUGAUCAUUUAAAUUUAACAAGCACCGCAAGUGAUCUGUUCAAAGAAAGUAUUGUUACUGAUUAUUUUCUAGAUUGAUUCCAGAAUAAUAAUCAUCAAUAGCUUACCAACAGUUUCUGUGAUACUUCAGAGUUUGGGAAAAUUAGAUCAUUUGACAGGAUUUUUCAAAUGUGGUUUUACUUUGAUUCUCAAUACAAUGCGAACAGGACCAUUCUGACAGGGCUGCUGUUAAAGCUUCUUACAGAUAUUUUAUUAUAAUUACUUGAAUAAAAUAUCAUCAACUAAUACACUAAUAAAUUGGGUUAGUUUCUUUCUGUUUUGAUUGGAAUUUUAAAUUCAGAAAAUUAAACAGUUGUUUUCCCAUUUAUAUUUUGACAAAAAAAAAUUCUUUCUAAAAAAUCAAGUAUUUUUACAAAUAUGUUGAAUCAUUAAGUAUAUAAGAACCAAAAAUUUAGCAAUUACAUAGAUGUUUCAAAGUUAGACUUUAGAGGGUAAGGACCUACACAGGCAAACAUGUGGUCCUUUGUUUUCAAAAAAGUACCAUUCCUUCAGUUGGGCUUUUAAAGUCAGUAAUCUGAUUAGUUUUGAAUACUUAAAUGUUUUCCUAGAAAACAAUAUCAACAUCAUACAAUCUAAAAUCUGUAUACUCUUCAGUAAAGAUUACUGAAAUACUAUAUGUUCUCUCUAUAGAUAAUAAAAUAAUGGAUAUCAUUUUACUCUCAAUGAUAUGAUAAAGUAGAAAAUGCACUGAAGUUUUAACUCAGUAAAUAUACGUCUAAGUGAAGAUCAACAGAAAAUAAAACCGUUUAAGGAUUCUGUAUUCUCUGGAAAUGUAAACAGGAUUAGAGCUGUCAGAUGCACAGAAGCACUGCCUUCAGCCAUUAGUUUGGUUUUGCUCCUGGGAAACACAACGUGAAUGACUGCAUCACUCCUUUCCAGAUCCAUACAUUCCCUCCAGCAGCUCCAGCUCCAUCAGAAGUGCUGGAAUGCACAAAAAUGACAGGCAGAGAGCACUCGUUUUCUUUUUUUCUCUCAUACUGUUUGCCUGUAAAUGGAAGACAGGGUUCUUUCUCAGAGCAUUUGAGCUGAGGCUCUUUAAGUCAACUGCUGAAGGAAAAUAUACCCGAAUUCUCUGUGCAAGACAGUAGCACAACUGGACUGUUUCCUUCCAAGGAAAAGACUGAGAAAUCAAAUACUGUAUUAUCUUAGAACAGAACAGAACAGAGCAUUCGCAUUCUAGCAUGAUGGCCUAUUAUUCUUCAAUUAGGAGUAUUUUCAGUUUUUUAGGUAUUCAGUAACUCAUCACCUUAGUUUAGCACCAUUCAAAGAGCACCCAGUUCUGCUUCUAAUUUUACAUAUAUAAAGGCCCCCAAAUUCAAAUAUACUGAUUUUCUUUUGAAAGUAUCUUAUUGUAUAGUUACAAUUUUUGUUUCCAAGUUUCUGACUUGUGUGUUUCACUACAAGAGGAAAUUCAAUUACUAAUUAAAAGUUUAUUUAACCAUGAUCAAGUGAAAACAAAAUGAAAUGUGCAAUCUGGCCAUUCUCCUGGAGCUUACACAUUCACAUUUUUUCAAAACACCUAGCACAGUAAUUGCUAAAACUUGACUCAUUUUGUAAGGAUACAGGAAAUUUUCAGGCUACAGUUUAAACACACAUAUUUUAGUUUGCAGUAACUAAGAACACCCCACCUCUGUUUCAUCAUCUGAGGUCUCAUAAAAUGCUCCUAACGUAAUGAUGAUGAAGGUAGAGGCUGGAGAAGUCUAAAGGUUAUGGACAUCCAGAAACACAAAACAAAAGUCACAUCCCGGGUGCCCCCCUCUUUGCAGGAAUGUCUGCAGCCAGCCCAGCAUCACACACAAGUCUGGGCAGAAGCGUGCUGAUGUUGGCACUGCCUAAACCAAACAAACAAGAUGUUUAACAGUCAGAUAAAAUGUCCUGCAGCCUCCCUAAUGAAUUUGUCAAGGACCAUCAGAGUUCGCUCCCCCUCUUUUGCCUCAUUAACUCAAGUAUGAUGAGACGGAUUAUAACAAGAGAAUACAGAUCAAUCGGUCUGAAGACUUGAAGUGGCUUUUAGCCUCUAGAGUUUCUUUCUCUCACUUGGUCUCCUUUAAUAGAAUACGCUAUCUCCUGCAGAAGGGGCUGCCACUUCGUUUUAAUACACCAUCAAGGAGCUGCUGAUGGACUUCUAUACUAACAUACAUAAAAGCAGAGGUGACAGGGGCUCUUCAAUUACAGCCUCCUCGGAUACCGUUUCCCCCUUCAAUUAUUCAACCAGAGGAAGAAGGAUCCGCGCGCGCACACAGCAGAAGCAGCUCUCCGAGCAGAGGAGCCAGACCUCUGUUGUAAAAGUGGAGAAACGCGGGGACCAGGGUGCAACGAAACUUAGUUGUGCUUGACAGAGCCGAGAGGGGAGGAGUAGGGUGUCAGGCUCUGGUGGCGAGAAGAUCGGAGUGGCCUGGGCAGCCCCAGUCCAGUAGAGAAGGCACGGACUGGGUCCCUCAGCGCCUACUAGGGAACCCGGGACGGCGGGCGGCCGAACCGAGGUCUUGAGAAUGGACUUCUGCAGUCAACCCGGGCCUUCUCGCAAACACUCAUUCCCAGGGACUUCUCUGGCCGCACCAGCCCACGAGUGAGGCCGCUGGCAGAGGCGAGGAAGAAUCGGCCAGCCGGAGGGUUGGGAACGAAAAGCUUUGCACCCUCAGGCCCCGCCAGGAGUCUCCGCCCAGUUACUGCCCUGGGGAGAAGCUGCUAAGGACCCUUUCGAGGCUGGUCACACAACUCCCGGCACCAAAGCGCCUGUCCUGCCCAGUACUAUUUCCCAGGGCUCCGAUGUGACCCAUGGGCAAUAGCCGGGUUACCGACAGAGUCUGGGCUUCCCACAAGCACGAAAUCCUGCAGACGCCGUGGCUCACGAUCCUCCCGCAGCCAAGCAUUCCCCCCACGAGGGCUGGGGUCCAGAGGCCGCCCCAAGUCUCUGCCACUCCCGAUGAGUUGACUACAGCUCUGCGUCGGAGUUUGCAGUGUGCUUACUUCCAACUAUCCUUCCCAACUCCUGGCCACUGAAGACAGAUUCUAGGAACAUAUCCGACUUGACUUUUUAUUUAAAGGGCCUCAUAGUUCUUUGUAAAGGGAUUUAGGGCAAUGAGAGUGAGUGGGUGACAAGGUACCGGCAGUCCCCAGCAGCUAAGUAAGGAAGGACUAAAAGGUCCAGGGGUCUGACAUCAAGGAAGUGGAGAGAAAUAAACUUCACUUAUGCAAUUGAAUGCAGGUUCACCUGGUCCAGCUUUAAGAGAGCAAGGCAAGCUCUCCCAAGGGGUUUUGCAAAAGUGGCAUACCAGGUUUUGCAAAAUGAAGUCUUCCACAAAGGGCUUCCUAGAGUUUUACUCUUAACAGCAUCACCAAUGAAUAGAAUGUCCCAAAUCUAACUAAAAUUAUCCUGUCUAUUUGACUUGUCUUAAAAAGACACAGAAACCAGGCAGACACCCAAGGUUCAAACGUAAAGCCUCAAUACCAAGCAAAUCACAAACACUGUUGAAGCUUUUUCAUCCGAAAGCACCGAAAGGCUACAAGGGGUCCAAUACAUAUACUAAAAGCAUAUGCAUGUGUUUCACUGAAAUGCCAAGGGAGGAGGGAAGCCAUCUGUGUAAUCAAUAACAGGAUAGUUAUAGAUUUUUGCAGCAGUGAAGUCUUUUAAAAGCAAAAGUCAAUUAUGAAAAUAAAAUAAUUUUACAAGUGAAACUGUACUGCUUGACAAUAUGUUCAAAAUUUGAUUUACCACACUGACAUUUUAAGAAAACUUUAACUUAGGUUCAAAUUUACUUCCCUUCAUUUUUAAGUUUAAAACAUUUUUAGUGGCUUAUUUUAAUUUAAACAUAUAUACAACAAAUGCUACCAUCUAUAAAUGUGCACCAUCUCUCAAAACUUAAACGUAUUUUCUUAUAACUAGCUAGUCCUUGUAACAAUAAAGUACUAGCAUUAAGUAUUAUCUGAAUCUUAAUUAUGAAGCAAUAAUGAUCAAGCAAGGUGUUUGCACUACUCUUGUCCUGCCCCGUUUUCAACAUAUGGAAACUACUGAAGAGAGAUUUAUAGUCAUAAACCCUCACCCCAUAUUCACAACUCACCCCCCCCCCCCCACCGCUCCUCAUAGAUAGCAAUUGCUCUGGCUCUGGGCAACGAUGGGGAGGAGGAGGGAGCAAGACUCUGUGGGAAGAGGAAAUAUAGAAAAUGUUAGGUCCUUUCUCAAAUUCAAGUGAAAGUAAUUUUGUUAGAGUUUGCAUCUUCUUCAAAUGUUGAUAGAAAAAAAAAAAA